GAAGCUUCUCGGCCUUUUGGCUAAGAUCAAGUGUAGUAUCUGUUCUUAUCAGUUUUUCAUGCCGGUGGGCAGUAACGCCGGUGUGGGGAUGGGUGCUGCAUGGUAGGGGGCAGGUGUACCAGGGCUUUCCGGGGCUGGUUCUGAGGAAUCAGCUCGACGGCUGCUCCGAUGUGACCUGAUCCCUC